GACGAACGCUGGCGGCGUGCCUAAUACAUGCAAGUCGAACGCAGUGGGGACGAGUGAAUGACACGUGGGUAACCUCCCAUCAGAGGGGAUAACACUUGGAAACAGGUGCUAAACCGAAAUUGAUGGAUGGACCAGCGGUGCAUUAGCUAGUUGGUGAUGUAACGGCUCACCAAGGCCACGAUGCAUAGCCGACCUGAGAGGGUGAUCGGCCAAACUGGGACGUAGACACGGCCCAGACUCCUACGUGAGGCAGCAGUAGGGAAUCUUCGGCAAUGGACGAAAGUCUGACCGAGCAAUGCCGCGUGAGUGAAGAAGGUGUUCGGAUCGUAAAACUCUGUUGUUAGAGAAGCGGUAUCUAACCAGAAAGCCACGGCUAACUACGUGCCAGAAGCCGCGGUAAUAC
rnacentral:rRNA from 1 species